AUACGUAGGGGACAAGCGUUAUCCGGAUUUACUGGGUGUAAAGGGAGCGUAGGCGGCCAGCCAAGUCAGAAGUGAAAUCCCACGGCUCAACUGUGGGCGUGCUUUUGAAACUGGAGGGCUUGAGUACUGGAGGGGCAAGCGGAAUUCCUAGUGGAGCGGUGAAAUGCGUAGAUAUUAGGAGGAACACCAGUGGCGAAGGCGGCUUUCUGGACUGUAACUGACCCUGAGGCAUGAAGGCGUGGGUAGCAAAAAGGAUUAGAUACCCUGGUAGUCCACGCCGUAAACGAUGGGUACUAGGUGUAGGAGGUAUCGACCCCUUCUGUGCCGUCGUUAACACAAUAAGUACCCCGCCUGGGGAGUACGGUCGCAAGACUAAAACUCAAAUGAAUUGACGGGG
rnacentral:rRNA from 1 species